GUUCUUUUGUUUAAAAUAUAAGGUUGGGCCUGCCCAUUGAUUUUUAAGAAUUAAAAGGCUGCGGUAUUUUAACUGUACGAAGGUAGCAUAAUCAUUUGUCUUUUAAUUGAAGGCUAGUAUGAAUGGUUUGAUGAAAAAUUAACUUUCUUUUUUUAAUUUAUUUAAACUUAAUCUUUUAGUUAAAAAGCUAAAAUUAUUUUAUAGGACGAGAAGACCCUAUAGAAGUUUACUAUUUUUAAAAAAAUAUUUUUUUUGUCGUUAAAUGGGUAUUUUUUGAAGAAUUAGUUUUAUUGGGGUGAUAAUAAAAUAUAUUUAACUUUUAUUUUUAUUUUUCAUAAAUUUAUGUUUUUUUGAUCCAGAAUUUUUGAUUAAAAGAUCAACUUACCUUAGGGAUAACAGCGUAAUUUCUUUGGAGAGUUCAUAUCGAUGAAUAAGUUUGCGA
rnacentral:rRNA from 1 species